UCCGCUGACAUCCAGUGGGAUUGUUGAGUAGUUCUGAAACUCUGGAAGAUGCUAUACACUUACUUACUCCCAGUGACCGACAGUAAAACCCAAUCCUCCAGUUUAGCCUGCCGGCCACAGCACCUUUAAAGUUGACAUAUUAUACUAAAACCACUUUUUCAGCCUUUUUGCACAUAUUUUUGGGUAUGUGGGGUGCCCACCGGCCCACAAAACGUGAAAAAGAAACACAAAGUCGUUAUUUAGUGGAUUGGCUUGACCUUUCAGACGGGCUCUGAACGAGCUGUUCACAACCCGAGUGUCCUAUUACAAAACAUGAAGCUGCUCCUGGGGUAGCCACGCCCCCCAACCUGAGAAUCUCCAUCCUUGAACUCAGAGAGACCGGAGCGCAUCUACGCCAUUGUUUUCUCUCGACAAGCGACUGACGGGCCGCUAGCACAAUGCCAAAAAGAGUUAGUAACGUUUGCCUGUUGUUGGCUGUACAGACCAACAUAAACCUGUACAUGGACUCCCAGCAUCAGAGAACACAAGAGCAGGUGGAUGACUUCAUUUUUGAUGGAAAUGUUCCAGCCACAGUCAGUGAAAGCUGCGAGUGUGUGGAACCACUUUGUGUCGGACUGUUCUUCAAGCCUGGGCCGGUGCAACACUGGACUGGAAGAAAAACUUUUUUUGCAAGAUGGAGCAAUUCCAACUGUCCGUGGCGAAGCUACAGAGGAGAGACAUAGUACAUCACACCAAUCGGCAACACCCAUGUUCCACAGUUUAAAGAACCAUGUAUAUUGGAGUGCAACCUCGUCAACCUCAGGGCCUGAGAAGGUGGCCAAGUGGACUUCACUGUUAAACAACAUUCAAAACAUCCAUGGGCAUGAGGACCCCCUCUACCCCAAAGACAAAGAAGGGUGAAGCCACCACAAAACAUGUUAAAACAGAACCCACAUUCAGUAAGUUGUAAAACACUACUCCUGGCGGAUCCGGAGGAUGACGCAAUGAUGACCCUGUUGUGGCGUCCCACAGCACCAACUGCGAGAAAAACAAUGAUGCAUUAUUGCAGUUGCAAAUUGCCUCUACUGCUAUAUCAUGUUAUAUGUGUGUAUAUUACUGGUUUCCUUACAUUUGCAAAAAAUAAAGAUAUUUUGAAGAUAA